rnacentral:lncRNA from 10 species
UCUGCAGCUCCCAGCAAGAUAGAUGCAGAAGUUUCCUUCUAGCUCCACUCAAGUUCCUGCUGGAUCCUUGCUGGUGCCAUCUGGUAUCAUUAGGUGUGGAAUGGAGAUACCAGACCCACAAGAUGAAAAGUUUUUCUCCUGACCUGUUCCCCCAUCACUGGAUGCCUGCCAGUGGGCUUCCCACUAUUAUUUCUGCUUUUGCCUCUAGGGGAGGAAAGUACCUGCAUGGACCACCUUCUGACACUAGGUGGAGGGGCCAGAAGCUGCUGAGCCUGUGUGGCUUUCUGCCAUUCAAAGGAGAGUCAGGAUACAAUAUCCCUGGGUUAUAUUCUGCUGCUGGAUAAAACCCAGGAGACAUCAGGCAUGCUAGUGCCUCUACUGUGGGCAAAGGGGCCCACUUGCUGCCUCUUAUUAUUGGAUGUGAGGUGAGUUGUCCUGACCAAGUUCUGCUAUUACUGCUGUAGGCAGAUUGGGUCCACUUCAGCUGGCAGGUGAGGGAUGUAAGGUGGGCUAGCACCACCAGGGUCAGUCCAUUUUUGCCACUGCUUCUAAUGGGUAGACCUGCUUCUACCAGCAAGUAUAUUUCUUCCUAGUAAGUCCCUGCUGGGUUUCCCAUUUGGCCAGAGAGAGCAAAUGUUUUUUGUUUUUACUUAUUGGGUAGUUUGUCUACACUUGUUGGUUUUUCUACAUUGCAGAGCGCUUCAGCACACAGUUCAGGCUACUUGGGAUAUAAAGAUAAGACCCAAGGAGCUCACUGCAGUGUCCUUCUCCAAAUUCUGAGUUAGCCAAUCCACCAUUUUUUCCAUCUUUUGGAUAUUCUUUAUGAUUGUAUUUAGUUAUAUUUAGAUAGAAACAGAGAAAAUGUAGUCUAUGUCAUCUUGUCCAACAUCAUUCUUUAUAAGGGCUUUCCAAGUCAUCAUUAAAGCCAAUUUGACAUUAUUUACACUUUUCUGGGUAAUAAAAAUAUCCAGUGAUUUCUACAUUUCAGCGUAUAUUACACUAUAACAGAAGUUGGCAAACUAUGGUCUUCUGUGGGCCAAAUCAGCCCAUAUAUUCCAAAGUCUGAGUUGAAUAGUUGCAACAGAGACUAUAUGUGUCUUGCAAGUCCUAAAAUAAUUUUUAUAUGUCUCUUUACCAAAAAAUCGCUAUUCCUUGCACUAUAAUAUUUUAAGCUUAGUUAACUAAUUAAUUUGGAAGUAUGGACACCACCACAGAAAAGAGUGUUAUUACAGUGCUAAAAUGAAUUUUUUGUGGAAGGAAAGAAGGUAUCAAUUCAAGUGACAGGGUUAAUUUUUUAACAAGAGAGGACCAUAGCACUGCACCACUAAAACCCAAUUAUGGUAAUAUCAAUAUUCAUU